CCAGGACAUGGCCACUACAGUAUCUGGGUCACCACAGCUGCCUUGCCCAGGUUCCCUUUUAUAGACCAACCCAAAAGGAAGGAUGAACAGCUGGGUGGGUCGUCAUUAUAACCCAGACCGGUGUGUUCAUAGCUAGCCGUCAACCUCUCCACCAAGGGAGCACACUGGUUGCUGUGUGUGUCUACUCUUUCAAAGCAAACACUGCCUGGGUCACUGUAACAGCAGCCUGCCCCUGUCCCUGCAGAGGAAGGUGUUCCGUCAGUGUAACAGGAGAAAGCUGAAAAUCAACCGCACGUGCAAGACAUGCCAGGCACUGAUGUCCAGUGUGGAGGAGAUCGGAAUUCCUAUCAUGAGGGAGACACACAACCGCACCACACCCUCACCGGACGCCAGCAAGCUAUUGCCAUCCUGUAGUCGCCACACCUCCAGCAGGGAGUUCUCCAGGCACACGCCAGCAUUGCCGCCAAGGACUUCACACUG